UCUUUACACAUCCAACAUGUAAAGACCAGCUACGAGAAGAGACCUUGGUCACCCCUCAUAUAAUCCUGACUUUUGUCUAUCAUUCUGGUUUAUGAGAUUGGUUUUACUUUAUCCAGUUAAAAAUUUUGUAUAACAAAUCAAUGGAUGAAUACAAUUGCAGGGCAAAAUAAUAAUUUUGAUGUAUAUAUUACGAACAAUUCAUCAGGGCUUACAUCUUUGGAACAAGGAUUUUUUUUCUUUCACUUCAAGGAUUCUUUUUCUCACUUCAAUUCAACCACCCUCUUCGAGAUGCCAUUAGGAUGAUUAAAUUCAACAUAUUCAACAGUGGAUUGAGAAUGAAAUUCAUCAUUGAAGAGGAAGGUAAAUAAUUUAGAACCUAGACUUUCCAGAAGCUUAGUCAGAAGAUUUAUCCUCAUCAGCAUGUCCAUCAACACCUGGGAUUAUACUCUUUGUUAAUAAAAU